UGGGGAAUAUUGCACAAUGGGGGAAACCCUGAUGCAGCGACGCCGCGUGAGCGAAGAAGGCUUUCGAGUCGUAAAGCUCUGUCCUAUGAGAAGAUAAUGACGGUACCAUAGGAGGAAGCCCUGGCUAAAUACGUGCCAGCAGCCGCGGUAAUACGUAUGGGGCGAGCGUUGUCCGGAAUUAUUGGGCGUAAAGGGUACGUAGGCGGUUUUUUAAGUCAGGUGUCAAAGCGUGGAGCUUAACUCCAUUAAGCACUUGAAACUGAAAGACUUGAGUGAAGGAGAGGAAAGUGGAAUUCCUAGUGUAGCGGUGAAAUGCGUAGAUAUUAGGAGGAAUACCGGUGGCGAAGGCGACUUACUGGGCUCAUUCUGACGCUGAGGAACGAAAGCGUGGGUAGCAAACAGG
rnacentral:rRNA from 1 species